rnacentral:rRNA from 1 species
UCAGACGAUGCGUCAUGCAUAUCAAUAAGCGGAGGAAAAGAAACUAACAAGGAUUCCCUCAGUAACGGCGAGUGAAGCGGGAAGAGCUCAAAUUUGAAAUCUUGAAAGGUCACCUUUCACGAAUUGUAGUUUAAAGAAGUGUUUUCUGUUACGAUCGUAAUAUAAGUUCUUUGGAAUAGGACAUCACAGAGGGUGAGAAUCCCGUCUAUGAUUGCGAUUUGUAGCUUUGUGAUACACUUUCAAAGAGUCGGGUUGUUUGGGAAUGCAGCCCAAAACGGGAGGUAAAUUUCUUCUAAGGCUAAAUAUUGGCGAGAGACCGAUAGCGAACAAGUACCGUGAGGGAAAGAUGAAAAGAACUUUGAAAAGAGAGUUAAAUAGUACGUGAAAUUGUCAAAAGGGAAGCGUUUAACACCAGUGUUGUUUUCUGAAAAUCAACCUCUGUUAGCUUUAUGCAUGUUUGUUUAGACCUAAUCAGCUAUCUUGCAUGUUCUAUUGUUUGCAGUGGUGCACUUUUCAGUUUACAGGUCAACAUCAGUUUUUUUUACCGUAAAAAAGUUAAAGAAAGGUAGCUCAUGGCUCCGGUCGUGAGUGUUAUAGUCUUCUUCCUAUGCGGUAGGAGAGACUGAGGUCUGCAGUGUAGGCUAUUUGGCUAGAUACUCAGGUGCUAUGUGAUACCAUUUCAUAAACAACUUGUUGAUUAUGUUUUGUCUAUUGCAUACUCGCUUGUACUAUCAUACCUACGCUUAGGAUGUUGAAGACUCUACAGAGAUA